rnacentral:rRNA from 1 species
UAUCUCUGUAGAGUCUGCAUAUCAAUAAGCGGAGGAAAAGAAACUAACUAGGAUUCCCUCAGUAACGGCGAGUGAAGCGGGAAGAGCUCAAAUUUGAAAUCUUCAAGGUUCUACCUUGACGAAUUGUAGUUUAAAGAAGUGUUUUCUGUUGGAGUUUUGGUAAAAGUUCUUUGGAAUAGGACAUCAUAGAGGGUGAGAAUCCCGUAUUUGACCAUUAUUUCCAGCUUUGUGAUACACUUUCAAAGAGUCGGAUUGUUUGGGAAUGCAGUCCAAAAUGGGUGGUAAAUUUCAUCUAAAGCUAAAUACUGGCGAGAGACCGAUAGCGAACAAGUACCGUGAGGGAAAGAUGAAAAGAACUUUGAAAAGAGAGUUAAACAGUACGUGAAAUUGUCAAAAGGGAAGCGUUUGACACCAGUGUUGUUUUCUCGAAAAUCAAUUAAAAAAGGCAGGAUUUUGUGUUGUAUUGACUUUAUCAGCUUUCUGCACUCUUUUCUUGUCUUUUUUAAUGCACUUUUCGUUUAACAAGUCAACAUCAAUUUCUUUUGUUGUAAAAGGGUCAUUGGAAGGUGGCUUUCUUUUCGGAGAAAGUGUUUAUAGCCUUUGGCCUCUGCAAUCGGAGAGAUUGAGGUCUGCAGCGUAGAUCCUUCGGGGCUAGAUACGUAGAUGCUAAGUUAUAGUUUUUUAUAGACAACUUGUUGACUAUAAUUAAUCAUGUAGCUUACUCGUUUGCGCUAUUUUACCUACGCUUAGGAUGUUGAAGAUGUAGCACAUCAU